GUUGGAUGUGAAAGGAAAUUUAAGAAAAGGAAGAAAUAAUGCUAUUUCUGGGAUUUGAACCCAGCUCAUAGAUUCCAAUAAAAUGGAAUCCCGUGUUUUCCCGUUUUGCAUCUUUACUGCAUUUACUACGAAAAGAUGAAAAAUAGCUCAAAGUAGUGGAGAAUUGAAUUCUGAUUUUCUAUUUGAAAAAGUUUUCAAAGUAACCACUAGCUUCCAAUUUUUAGUUUUCUUUGAAUAAUUUUCUGGAAGACAAAGUUGUUUCCCACAACUAAACAGUCUCUUUGUAUUUUGCUAUACAAAUGCAACUUCUGGGGCAGUGACAGGGUAAUCUUUCACCAUGCAACUGAACUUUGAGUGCAAAU
rnacentral:misc_RNA from 1 species